rnacentral:rRNA from 1 species
CGAUUCCGAUUUAUCGGAAUAGUGGCAAACGGGUGAGUAACACGUAAGUAACCUGCCCCUAAGUAAAGGAUAACUCUGAGAAAUUGGAGCUAAUACUGUAUGUGGUGGUGGGGCUAAGGCUCCAUCACUAAAGCCUUCGGGCGCUUGGGGAGGGGCUUGCGUCCGAUUAGCUAGUUGGUAAGGUAAUGGCCUACCAAGGCAACGAUCGGUAGCUGGUUUAAGAGGACGGUCAGCCACAUUGGGACUGAGACACGGCCCAGACUCCUACGGGAGGCAGCAGCAAGGAAUAUUGUGCAAUGGGCGAAAGCCUGACACAGCGACACCGCGUGGGGGAUGAAGGCCUUCGGGUCGUAAACCCCUUUUCCCAGAGAAGAAAAAUGACGGUACCUGGGGAAUAAGUCUUGGCUAACUACGUGCCAGCAGCCGCGGUAAGACGUAGAAGGCAAGCGUUAUCCGGAUUUAUUGGGCGUAAAGAGGGUGUAGGCGGUUCUUCAAGUCGGAUGUAAAAUCUCCCGGCUCAACUGGGAGGGAUCAUCCGAUACUGUUGGGCUAGAGUGCAGCAGGGGGAGAUGGAAUUCCCGGUGUAGUGGUGAAAUGCGUAGAUAUCGGGAGGAACACCAGUGGCGAAGGCGGUCUCCUGGGCUGUUACUGACGCUGAGACCCGAAGGCGUGGGGAGCGAACAGGAUUAGAUACCCUGGUAGUCCACGCAGUAAACGAUGGACACUAGGUAUGGGGGGUAUCGACCCCCUCCGUGCCGAAGUUAAC